GCAACCUGGUAGCAGGCUCGUGAGCAAGCGAGGUAUUUUGGGUAUCUUAUCUAUGUUACCAAUGGAACUGAUGGACUUCUGCUUAACACAAAUAAUUUGGUGGUGCUUGCAUCUGGGAGUGAACUGUGUCACGGUUCUUCUCUACUAUAGGAGGAAAUAAGAUGGGGCAUGUGUUUAUGUUUUCAAGGAGAAAUAUUGCAACUGAUGCGUGUACAUUAGUGUAGGUUCGUUUCACCUUGUUUUCUGAAACAAAGUGAUGCCUGUGAUCAGAGUAUACAGAGGUCGAAGAACUACACAUUUGAAGCAAUUCAAAUGAAACAGGGCAUGGUUAUGAGGGUCAAGGGUCAUCAAUAACCAUAAAAGCUUAUUAUUGAUCCCUGGAUACAUUAUAGCAUCUAUUGUUAUGGGAGAAUGUGGUUUUCUGCCUUGGUGAGCUCCCUAAUUUGGCAAGGACCCCGGCCCGAACGGCAUCUUUGUGUUGCGCUGUGUUGGUUCCAGUUCCACACACGCGCAUCGGAGGACGCGUUCCAGUUCCACGAGGCCUCUCUUAUCCUGCAAAACAGUUCCUGGGUUGGUGGUUUCUAUCUCUUC